rnacentral:lncRNA from 1 species
GUUUGAAGGGCCAAGGAGAACGAACAAAUUAGAAGACAAUUAGCUCAAUAAUAUCAAAUGCAAAUAUUAUUUUAAUAAAUUGAAAGUAGCCGAAUUAAAAAAAAAAACACUAGUGCAAAGAUCAUCACAUUGUAUAUUUACUAAAAACAAAAUUCGAUUUUGGUGCUUAGCGAAGAAAACAUGUCAAAGGAAAGUUGGUACGUAGGCUGUAGGGGAGUAUAUUAUAUACAGUCUCUAGUACUGUGAUCGAAAUGCUUUUUUAGGUGAAUAUUAGUUCACUAAACAUAGCAACUCUUUGAAUUAAUCUUUUGUUUUUGAAAUAAUACAGUGCGGUGGGGAUCGAAUAAUAUAUACGUGGGUCUGAAUCGAGAGGCAGGUAAGGUAAAGAAAGAGAUUGAUCAACAAACGAGAUUCGUUUGGUAAUGA